CAGCACCUCAAGUGGUCAGGAUGAUUAUUUGGCCUAAAGCGUCCGUAGCCGGCCGGGUAAGUUUCCCGUUAAAUCCAGCGUCUCAAGCGUUGGACUGCGGGAAAUACUGCCUGGCUAGAGAGUGGGAGAGGUCAGCGGUAUUCUGGGGGUAGGGGCGAAAUCCUUUGAUCCCCGGAGGACCACCAGUGGCGAAGGCUGCUGACUAGAACACGUCUGACGGUCAGGGACGAAAGCUGGGGUAGCGAACCGGAUUAGAGACCCGAGUAGUCC
rnacentral:rRNA from 1 species